rnacentral:rRNA from 1 species
AACGAACGCUGGCGGCAUGCCUAACACAUGCAAGUCGAACGAGACCUUCGUGUCUAGUUGCGCACGGGGGCGUGAGGCGUGGUAAGCUGCCCUUAAGUUCGGAAUAACUCCCCGAGAGGUAUGCUAAUGCCAGUUAAGCUCUUCGGAGCAAAGAUUUAUCGCUGUUGGAUGGGGGCUCGUUGGAUUAGCUGGUUGGUAGUGUAAAAGCCUACCAAGGCGAGGAUCCAUAGCUGGUGUGGGAACAUGACACGCCACGCUGGGACUGAGACCCGGACCAGAAUCCUACGGAAGGGUGGAGAGGAGAACACUAGACAAUGGGGGCAAGUCCAAUACAGCCAUGUCGGGUAAGUCAUCAAGGGGUUAGGGUUGUAAAGCUCUCUUACCCGAGACGAUAAUGACAGUACCGGGAGAAUAAGCACCGGCUAACUACGUG